rnacentral:lncRNA from 1 species
UGUCGUGGGAGUCCGCAUGACAAUGCUCUUGAAAAAGUUCUUCCGUGCGUGGUUCUGACUUCUGACGGUGUACUGUCGUUUGCUUGUAUAUGAUCUGUUGCGGAAAAUUGAAGUGGUGACGUUUGUUUAAUUGUUUCUAAGAGUGGUGUGCUAAGUCCACGAUUAACAAACAUUAAUAAAGAAACUAAGUCUGUAUUUGUACAGAACUGAUUUACUUUCACAUGGCAGAAAGGUCACAUAAGCACUUAACUAUGCAAUGCGCAUCAAUGUAUCAGGCAUAAAAAUAAAAACGCUGUACGACAUAAAAAAUGAGCGACUGAUGAAUGCCAUGUUCGCUCACCGGAGAAAGCGAAUGGUAAGAAUAGAUGACUGGAAGAAUAAUUUUGAAUAAUUAGCUGUAAAUCAAAUAUGGACGCACGUGCUAAGUCGAAAACUAAAACCAAAUGAACAAGUUCUAUUACCGUGAAUCUAACCAGCUGAGCUCUACUCAGUUUGCAUUUCUACAGCAUUACGUCAAGUCUUUUGUUUCCUGCCUUAUUCAUGUAAUCAUAGGUGCACCGUCACACGCGGUACGGCGGUAGCUAGUCAUCUCUUUAAAAAAGACGGCGCUGUGCUUAGACGAAGCAAGGUUUAGGCCCAGUUUGAAUCGGGUUGUGGGUUUUGAAAAUCUGGAUUUUAGAUGGAUUGUCACUUGUUAGGAUCUGGAUUCUAAGCAAAAUUUGGAUGGUGUUGUUUAUUCUAGAAUGAUUGUAUGGUUGUUUGUUGGAUAGAUGUCUUUUAUGCCCUUGCUACUCAAAAGAGUGGAGAGUGGUAGAUUGGGUAGAUUGGUGGACCUACUACUAGUCUUCCACGUGGACCCAUCUUUGAUUCCUUUCCUCAUAAGCCACUACAGGGUAUAAUGGGUAUAAUGCUUGUUUGGUUGAUUGGACAUAGCAAAAUAAAAGUAAAGUGAUACAUACAUAUGUAAGCUCCCGUUGUCUCUUCUGUAAGGGUGAAAGAGAAUGGUCCGGGCCGUCCUUUGCGAUUGCACGGCGGUUUGAAAUUUGGCAAGUGUGUGCUUGGCAUGUACUUCCUCCAUCCCUUUUUAUUUGUCGCUUAGGAAAUGUCGCUGCGACAGAUAAAAAGGGACGAAGGGAGUAGGAGCGAAAGAGAUCAAGGAGCUAGCAGGCUGUUGCCGGUAGAAGAAUAUCAUCUGCAGCUAUCUUUAGUUGAGUCAUUGCUGCGGGACCGAACCCACGUAUAAGUGACUUAAUUGUAGCUACAUCUACUGCAGAGGAGUCUCAUCUUCGUGGCUAGCUCGCGGGACUAGCUGAUGGAUCACCAUGGCAAAAGUAAAGAGAGUGCCAGUCGGAUCCGUUGCUCGGCUCGGUCGGACCUGGCUUCAUCGGGUGGCGUCGCGCCACCAGGCGCCACGUGGCAACCAGACACGCUGCUGCUACGAGACCAGCCGGUAGCCGUAGCAUAGCAGCGAGCAAGUGCCAGUCCUCUCGGCCCCACCCCCCACCUCUUCCUCCUCACGCGCUCGUCCGGCACCAAAAACCCCAAUCGCCUCCACCACCUCGUCGGUCGCCGUCGCCGCGGAGAGGCGAUCUGUGCUCAGGUGAAUAGCUAGUCCGCUUCCGCUUCCACCGCUCGUCUCCGGCCUCUCCCGGCACGCUUCGGUUCUUGAGGUGGCGGCUAAUUCGGUUUGGUUGGCGGGGAUCAGGUCAGGUCGUUUGCUUGCAGGGUGGAUCGCCGGUGGUGGGGAUCGGGAAUGAGCUUCUACUUCGACAGGCUCGAGGCCGCGCGGCGGCAGCAGCGGAUGACGGCGGGGGGCGCGGCCGUGGGAUGCGCCCCGCCCCCGCGCGCGUGGCCUUAUUAUUACCACUACCAGCACGCCGCUCUGCUUCCUCGCUCGCCGACUCUGCCCGUUCCUCCUCUUCACGCCGGCGAGGGCGGCGUGGGACACGAGCGCGGUGGUGGCCGGCGGGACACGUGGCGCGGCGGCAGCGUGCCGAGAUGCGAGGCCGGGCCGGUGAGCGCGGGCGUGGGCGCGGCCUGGGCCGGAGGGAACACGGUUUCGGUGGGCGGCGCGGAUGGGUUGGACGGCGACAGCGUGCGGGGGGUGGCCGGUUCGGUUGCGACGGCGCCGGGGCGGGAGGAGGGGGGAGGCGUCGGCGGACGCGAGGAACGCGAGGUGAGGAGAAAGAAGUGCUUGGUGGCGCCGACGCCGGACGCGCGCUGCGCGCCGCCCAAGCGGAGGGCCGUGCCCGCCAGGCGCCGGUUCCCGCCCGGCUGCGGGAGGGACGCGGCGGCGCCGCCACUCACCCUCCGCGGCGCCGGCGCCGGCGGCUCUGGCGCACUGCAGGAGUCGGGUGCUCCUCCUCCUCCCCUCGCGGGCGGCAGGGACAGAGUCCUGUUCGAAGCCGCGGCGUCUCCCAGUGCUGCUGCUGCAGGUUCGAGCGCGCUGAACAAGGCGUGUGCUGCGGACGGUGCCGCCGGCGCAACGACGGACGGCGCUCACCACUGUCCAGGGGCGGCGCUGGAGAAGCCAUCAGAGGCUCCGGGCAAAAAUUCUGUUGCUACCGCUAAUGGUGUUGCAGGGCCAGGGAGUGGUGAAUCGUCGAAGAGCAAUUGUAAUUUGGUCCCAUCCGUGCGUUUCCUACCGAAGCCGACCAUGGUUUCCGCCUACCGCCGCUUCCCACCUGGCUGCCGGAGGCUUGCAGCGCCUCUGCCCGUUGGCGGUGGCAGUAGCCGAGAGUGGUCGCCGUCGUCGUCGGAGGCAGUGCCUUCAGACCGAGAUGACAUGGAAAUAGUAGCUCCUCUGUGCAGUGGUGCUGCAAAUGGAGCAUCACAGAACGAAGGAUUGGAGGAAGGGGAGGUUGCAUCGGAGGCCCAAGAAUCUCCCAGUGCUACUCUGCACGAUGAGGCUACAGCUUGUAGGCAUGGAGCUUCUGUGGAAGUCUAUGCAAGCCAUACUUCUUCCAGUGAGGAGAUGAUUGGGAACGCAUGGAAGUGUGAGGAGAACAAGUCUGUUGGGAGUUCCUGCAAUUUUGUUGCUGAAUCUUUGGCUCAAGGUCUUGCCAAAGAGCAUCUGAACGGUGAGACGAAAUCGGUGAAGCCUCCCAAAUUGAUUCAGAAACCUGCUCUGAACACUCAAUGUAGGCCCUUCGCCAAGGAAACAGAGCAGGAGACUGAAUUUGGAAGGCACACCACGAAUGCCUCUGAGGACACUGACGAGUUUACAGACCAAGCUAUACAGGAUCCUAUUUCUGCAGACAAAUGCCACUGGACAAAGGGAAAGGAUGCUGCCACAGUUAGCAACUACUUCGGUCCCAAGAAGAAGGUGAAGGAUAAAAAGUAUUCCAUCUUGGAACAUGAUGACAUUGUCAAGGCUAUCGCUGUUCAUGAAGGCAAGUUUGAACACGAACCCCAAGAUGCAGACGCUCGGAGCAAAGUCAAGAUGCUGUGCAGAAGGUUCGAGUCCAUCUGCAGGGCCAUAGUCCAAUCCGCGGAACAGCGUUCGCUCAAGGUGAGGAGGAUCGACCUCGCAGCUGACAAACUGAUGAGGAAACUGCCAGGGUUCACCAAGCUCGGCCCCAUCGUCGGAACCGUUCCCGGAGUCGAGAUCGGCGACGAGUUUCUCUACAGGGUCCAGCUGGCCCUCGUCGGGCUCCACCGCCCGUACCAGGGCGGCAUCGACACCACCAGGGAUGACCACGGCGUGCUGAUCGCCAUUAGCGUCGUCGCCUCCGGUGGAUACCCUGACGAACUGUCCUGCCCGGGCGAACUGAUCUAUACAGGAUCUGGUAAGGAUGGUUGUGAUCAGAAGCUUGAGCAUGGGAACCUCGCGCUGAGGAACUGCGUCGAGAGGAAGGUCCCUGUCCGGGUGAUCCAGGGCUUCAAAGGUCUGAACAGGGAGGGAGGCAGCCAUUCGAGGGCCAAGGAGAUCACGACGUUCACGUACGACGGGCUGUAUCGUGUGGUGGAUUGCUGGAAGGAGGGCCGGCCGGGUUCGAAGGUGUUCAAGUACAAGCUGCAGAGGAUUCCUGGGCAACCAGGGCUUCCCCUGCACGUGGAUAAAUUCGUGAGGAAGAACAAUACAUAAAAGCUCCCGUGUAUCUUGGGGGUGCUUGGAUACACCCCACUGAAGUUUAGCACCUAUCACAUCGGAUGUUUGGAUGCUAAUUAGGUCUAUUAAAUAUAGGUUAAUUAUAAAACUAAUUGCAUAGAUGGAGUCUAAUUCGCGAGACGAAACGAAUCUAUUAAGCCUAAUUAGUCUAUAAUUUGACAAUGUGGUGCUACAGUAACAAUUUGUUAAUGAUGGAUUAAUUAGCCUUAAUAUAUUCGUCUCGCGAAUUAGACUCCACCUGCACAAUUAAUUUUGUAAUUAGCUCAUAUUUAGUCCUCCUAAUUAGCAUCCGAACAUCCGAUGUGACCCUGCUAAAGUUUAGCACCUCGUAUCCAAACACCUAAUUCCUUAUCAAUGCAACCCAGACAAUCUCUCCUGGAUGACAAGGGUUUUAAUAGUAGGACAGCAGAGGGGCCCGCAAAAACUGAUUGUAACCUAAAAAAAUGAUGGUAUAAAGAAUAUUGUUGUUCUACUUCCGAAAGAGUUGUAAUGCUUUUUUACAGGUUUGAUUAAAAAUAAGGAUUAGACACUCGACGGACGAUACGCUCAUUAAACGCACACUACCGGAGAAGUGAGGGUUUGGGCCGGUAUCAGUGCAUGGAAUUAGUACCACGUUCAAAUUUGAGCUAUUUGGAGGCCACCCGGUACUAAAAGAUAGCUUUUAGUAUUGGGCAACUCUGGGCAAAUUACCCGCUACCCAUUACCCAAACCCGAAAUACCCGGACCCGGAUCCGAAAAACCCGAACCUGCAUGCCCGAUGUUUAGUUCGGAUAGUGAUUCCUAUUACCCAAUUUUAAUUUGGAUAAUUUGGGUAACUACACCCGGUACCCGAACUAUCCGCAAUUUGAGUCAUAGCCCAAUAGGCCAAACAUCCCCCGCGGCCCAACAGGCAACAAGCCAACAGUGGCACAGGUCACUCGUCAGGCCGCACAGGCGCACAGCGGCACAGCGCAACCUCAUCCUCAUUUCCUCACCUCACUCCCUGACUCCCUGUAUCCUCCAAAACCUAGCCGCCACUCCCGCCGUCCCGCGGUCCCGGGCUCCCGGCGUCCCGCCCACCAUCCAGAGUUCUGCCGCCGCGCUAGAGCGGUACCGAAGGGGCGCGGGCGUGGCCGCGUGUAGGCGGUGACGGCGACGGCGUGAUGCGGAGCGAAGUCGUCGGCUCGUCGACGCCGCCCAUACUCCGUUGCCCACCUCUGCACCUCACUCCGACACGCGACACCUCGCAUCCCCGCGCGUCGACCUCGUCGGAGAUUGGAAACUGGAGAGGGACACCGACGCCCAGCUACUUGAAGAUUGAAGGACGGCUGCCACAUCAGAAUCCUCGUGCAAUGUAUGUAUUCCCUAACUCCUAUGGCCCUAUUCCCCUUAGUUUUUUUUUGAAUCUAUGGACUAUGGAUCUGUUAUUUGUCUAUUUGAUAUGAUCUGUGAUUUUUGAAUUUUGAUAAUAUGGUGAUGCUGAUAAUAUGGUGAUUUUUGAUAUGAUCUGUGAUUUAUGAUUAAUAGAGGCAGUGAGGCACAUGAUUUAGUUGAUUUGUUAUGAUCUGUUGAUAUGAUCUGUGAUUUAUGAUGUGUUAUUAUGAUCUGUUGAUAUGAUCUGUGAUUUAGUUUGACUUAUUAUCUUAGUGACUGAUUAUAGUGUUCUUUUUAUUUCUGUAGAUGCCAGAACCAGAGGAUAAUAUGGAAUCAGUGGGCACUGGCACUCAAUUUGAUAGUCAGGAGACUCAGGCAAUGGUAAUGGUGCCAAUGUUAGUACAUGAACAACCAUCACUGUCACCGGAGAAUCAGGAACAAGGUAAAACCGAAGGAACUAAAAAAGUGGUCAUUGAUGUGGAUGAGAAGGAAACUGAAAAAUCUCAGAGAAAGGAGUUGGCGUCAAGGUCUGAGAUGUGGCAACAUUUUAUCAAGAUCAAGGACGACAAAGGACUUUUGAAGGCUGGAAGGUGCAAAUAUUGCCAUCGUGACAUCAAGGCUGACACAAGAGGAUAUGGAACAUCUGCAUUGAAGAAACACUUUGGUACAUGCAAACGCAAUCCUCAUGUUUUCAUCAAGCACCCAAAGCAAGGCACCUUGCAAGCAUGUCGGGGGGAAGCCCCUACCACUUGGAGGUUUGAUCAAGAAGCACUUAGAGAAGCCUUUGCUGAGAUGGUAAUAGAAGAUGAGCAACCCUUUUGUUUUGGUGAGAAACUUGGCUUUAGGAAAUUUAUGUCCAAAGCAUGUCCUCGAUUCCAAUUUCCAUCUAGAAGAACUUGCACAAGGGACAUUGUACGUCGUUACUUUGAAGAGAAAGCCAAACUGAAGAAGUUCUUCAAAGAUUCUUGUCAAAGAGUAUGCCUCACAACAGAUUGUUGGACUUCUCAGGUUCAAGAUGGAUAUAUGACUAUUACAGCAACUUUUAUUGAUGAAAACUGGAAUCUGCAUAAGAAAGUGAUAGGUUUUUUUAUGGUAAAGGGUCACAAGGGGGAGGAUAUUGGGAAGAACUUCAUGAGAUGCUUAGCUGAUUGGGGUUUGGAUAGAGUAAUGACUGUAACAGUGGAUAAUGCAAGUGCCAAUGACUGUGGUGUUGAUUACUUGAGGAGGCAUCUGCAGAAAACCAACAUUGCCAAGGGCAAGUUUUUGCAUAUGAGAUGUGCAACCCACAUUGUGAAUCUUAUUGUAAGAGAUGGAUUGCAAGAAGUGGAUCUCUCUAUUAAGCGUGUUAGGGCUGCUGUUAGAUAUAUCAAAAAUGAAACUUGAUGUUCCGACAAGGUGGAAUUACACAUAUUUGAUGUUGAAGGCUGCAAUUGUGUAUGAGAAAGUGUUAUUAAAGUUAGCUGAAGAUGACACUAAUUAUGUUAUUGAUCUGUCUGAAGCAAGGGAUGGUUUUGGGCAUCCUGAUGAAGAUGAUUGGGACAAUGCAAAGAAGAUGGCACAAUUUCUACAGCAUUUUCAUGACCUUAUUGUUCCUAUCUCUUCUUCUCUCCAAGUCACUUGCAACACUUUCUUUCAUGAGAUUGGAGAAGUCCAUCUGUUGAUUCAAGAAUGGCUGAACAGUGAAGAUAAUUUGCAAGUAUCAAUAGGGAUGAGAAUGAAAGAGAAAUUUGAUAAAUACUGGGGACUUUGGCACACCAACAACAAGGACAAUGACAGGCAGCAACACGAGCAAGAUAGGGAUAAAGGGCGGAGCAAGGGCAGGGGGAAGGAGAAGGAGAAGGACAAGGAGAACAUCAAUUUAUUCAUAUUUGUGGCUGCAUUCCUUGAUCCAAGGUACAAGUUAUCUUUGUACACAAAGAUUAGCGUUGAAGAGAUAUAUGGUGAGGAAAGAUGUGAAUUGGUUUGGGCAGCAAUUAAUACUUAUGUGAGAGAGCUGUUUGAAGAAUAUAGGAACAUGUAUGCUCCAAGUGAAGAAACAACUCAAGUAAUUGAUGCUGAUCAACCUAAGGGAGGUGCAGGAGGAAUGCUUAAAGAAAAAAUCAUCAAGAGGAUGAAACUGAGCAAUUGUUCUACCAGCACCUAUAAAUCUGAACUUGAGAAAUAUCUUGCUGAAGAAACUAAAGACACAAAAAAGAAAAUGGACAUUCUUGGUUGGUGGAAAGUCAAUUCAAAUAGGUUUUCAGUUUUGAAUCACAUGACUCGUGAUGUGCUUGCUAUACCCAUCUCAACAGUAGCGUCAGAGUCCGCUUUUAGCACAGGUGGACGUAUCUUGGAUGACUUCCGUACCUCUCUUACUCCAUUCAUGCUAGAGGUACGGAGGAAUUGGCCAUAAUAGAAAAAGGUAUCAUAUUUUCUUAGUUGCUUGCAUUUGUGUAUUUACUGUAUGUAAUAUGAAAUAUGUAACUGUGCUGUGCAUUUACAGAGUGGAUAGAAGAAUAUGGCAGCAAAGGGAAAAAGAAUGAGCAGCCUUCUGUCGACGACACCUCCAAGUCACAAACGCCAAGCAACAUGGAGGACUAGAGUGUGGACUCUGGACACUCGACAGUCACUUGCUCUUGUGCCAGUUUAGUGAUGUGUUUCACUAUUUUGUUUGAACUUCUGUUCUUGUGUGAUGCGUUGGGCGUUGGCAGGCAGCAGGCUUGAAGCCUUGAACUGUGUCUUUGUGACUGUGUCGUGGACUCGUGGUUUGCACUUGCAUUGCAUCUGUGGUUGAAAACUUGAACUUAUAUUAUUCUGUCCAGUUUAAAUUCAAUGCAAAUUUUGUGAUGUUUGCUGUGAUUCUAUAAUUUCGGGUAUAUUGGGUAUACCUGAACCCGAAUCUGAAAUUGCGGGUACCCGAAAUUGCGGGUACUAUUUUUUCGGGGCUGUUAUUGGGUAAUACUGUUCAUUACCCGAAUUUCGAAAAACCCGAACUACCCAACCCGAAUUAUUCGGGUAACCCGAACGCCCAGAGUUAGUACUGGGUAGUGUUGUGAAAAAGUAUUGGGUGGUGUUGUAAUGAGACUUUUAAUACCGAGUCAUAACAUGACCCGAAACUAAAGUGUACCCUUUAGUAUUGGUGGUGUUAUAUCCGGUACUAAAAGGUUAUCCACGGGUUACUUCAAAAGAAAAAGUUUCAAAAGGAAAAUUAUCUCUUUGUCCAUCACUUGUGCUGUGUAGGUGAGAUGGUAAGGAAGGAUUGCACGUGGUUUGAGGUCCUAGGUUUAAAUCAUCGCACCGCGUACGUGCAUAUUUCGUGUGACUUGUGACUUUGGGGCGUUGCGCGUGUGUGGGAGCCUCCUAGCUUUUCAGAAAUUUUUUUCUUUAUUUUUUUUGGAUGCAAGCCGUUUAGUACCGAGUUUUUUCUUUAUUUUUAUGGGUGCAAGGCAUUUAGAGUAUCGGUUGAUCUGCCCGAUACUAAAUGCAAGAAGGACCGGUACUAAAGGCAAUCAUGGUACAUAUUUUGGAGUAGACUUUGCAAAUCGAAGGAACUUCUUGUUGUGUUAUACUUGUAUACGUAUUUGUACUCCAUUCGUUUGGUUUUUAACAGGCAGAUUAAAAUUUAAAAUGGUCUGGAUAUUAUUUUUUAAGGCAGGUCCGGAUAUUAUUUUUGACCAUCAAUUUCUCUUAUAAUAUAUCAUCAAUGUAAAUAAAUCAGCAAUAUAUUAAAAGAACUUUGAAAUACUAAUAUAUUCAUCUAACAAUGUCCAAAGUGGCAAAGUAUAUGAUCUGACUUAUCACUGGUUCUUCAAAAAUCUUAAUACGCCUAGUAGGGAAGUACGAUCUGUCCAAAGACGUGGUAUCCCAGCCGUGGACCAUGGGAGCCCACGGCCCACCCGUCGCCACGCCAUCAUCAUCAAUCCGGUGAGGCCGAUCUGCACGCCGCCGCGGGAGGCCUUUCUUUCUACUGGUGAACGGCCGUGCUCCGUCCGGCCCACGCUGCUGCGGUUCAAAACCUACGGUUCGCGAGGUGCUGUGCCUACUGAUUUGGGGGCACUUCCAUUUCAAAUUGUAGCUCCUUCCAUUUUAAAUUGUAGGUUAUUUUGGCUUUUUAAGAUUCGUAGGUAUUAUUAUACAUCUAGACAUAUGAUGCAUAAUAAUAUCUAUAAACUUAGAAAAAUCAAAAUGACCUAUAAUUUGGAACGGAGGAGUAAAUCUUUUUGCUUGAUCCUCUUCCACCGGAAACGUCCUAAUAGCUGACAACCUCGACCUUAGAGGAUGGCCACAUGCAAAGCAUUUCGGUUAAAAUUGUUGCAGCUACGGCUUAUCUUAGUCUUCUAAAUGGGUGUUUGGAUCUUUAGUCCGGACUAAAAUUCAUGUCACAUCAAAUAUUCGGAUGCUAAUUAGGAGGACUGAACAUGAGAUAAUUAUGAAACUAAUUACACGGAUGGAGGCUAAUUCGCGAGAUGAAUCUAUUAAGCUUAAUUAAUCCAUCAUUAGCACAUGUUUACUAUAGCAUCACAUUAUCAAAUCAUAGACUAAUUAGGCUUCGGAAAAGAAAAGAGGGUGGCCUGGCCCCUUUUCUUCUUAUCAUAUCACAAGGGCGCGGCUCUGUAUGGGGCUCGUACUGCGGAGCAAGUCUGGGAGUCCUUUCCACUCAUUGAGGAUUCUAUCUAAAAAAGAAGGUCAACGGGGGAGACUACAGUAGCUCGAAUUUUGCCAAUUCGUCAGUUCGAUCUAUGAUUUCGAACAAGGGAGAGGGAUAUGGAAAGGAUGAAGUAAUGCGUGAGAAUAGCAAACUCCUAUCUCUUAUAAAGUUAGAUUUGGCGAUGCCCCUUUCGGGGGGCAUUCCGAUUUCGCUAUCCAAAUCCUGCCUCAAUAUUAAUAGAUUCGUCUCGCAAAUUAGCCUCCAUUUAUGCUAUUGGUUUUGUAAUUAAUCUAUGUUUAAUACUCCUAAUUAAUAUCUAAACAUUCGAUGUGACAGGAAUUUUAGGAGCUUCUAAAGAAACAAACACCCCCUAAAACUAAAACUACAGGAACUAGAGUUGUUGAUGCUGCACCCAUAGCUGCAAAGAAUCACAGCCGAACAUAGACACCAUCUGUAUCCAAACUGUGCAACUCCUUACCCCCUGUCCAUUUAUGCAUGGACUACCCUUUUCACCCGUACGAUGUGGGCAUGGGCAGUCAAUUGACUCGACCUGUAAAUCUAUAACAAUUGUAGCCUAUCCGAUUAAGAAUCCGGUCCAAGAUUGUCAAAAAGAGCACAAACCAUCAGGCUUCCUAAUUUUUUUAGUUAAAUGUAUGGGAGGAACAAAAUCGACGAACCUUUGGAUAAUAAGAAUCACAAUAAGCUGUAGGAGUAGCUUAAUUAUCUAAUCCAGGAGGAUGUCCAACAGUUUCAAACACGUGGCUUUUGCAUUUCCUCGGAUUAGUUGUACUAUAAACUGCUAAUGCUCUUUGUUUUGUGUUUCUUUGUUGUGGUUUGGUUGCCUUUGCUGCUCGUGGCAAUUGUGCCGCCGCCUCCCUCUUUUGUUUUGGUUGCCUAGAUGUUGUUGAGCAGCUGUGGCGUUGUAGUGGUCCUGGAUGCGAGGGGAGGGGCUGGACUUUUGCUCUUUCGUUUAAUAACAAUUAUGGCAGAUCUUUCGCCAUUCUUUUUUUUAGAAAAAAAACUGCCACUAGGGAUAACGUGAAGCGAGCAUUGUCCGUUCUUUGUAUACCGGAACGAGGUACAGGGAAUUAAGAGAAAAUAUGCGUUGCAAUGCGAAUCAUAAUUUUUAACAAGUUAAUUAUUAACAACCUUAACUGUGGCUCCAAGAAUUUGAAAUUAAAUAAAUUAAUCUUCUGCAUCACCAAAGCCCGUUAGUUUUAUCUUAGUGACAUGUCAUUGGGAAUGUGCCUUCAGUACUGGGUCCAAACCCCCCUUUAGUAUCGGUUGUGCAACCGGUAUUGCUAUUUCGGUACUAAAGAGGGACAUUUAGUACCGAGUCAAAUAACUGGUACUAAAGGGUAUUAAAAAAUAAAAAAAGAAAUCCGCCGAUUGGAGCCCCAGCCGCACCCCGCCGCCAUCCGCCCGAGUGCCGGAGCUCCAGCUGCACCCCGCCGCCGUCCGCCCGAGCGCCGAAGCCCCAGCCGCACCCCGCCGCCGUCCACCCCGCGGCUGAGCCCGGCCGCACAACACCUGAGCCCCGCAUCAGAGAGAGAGGGAGGGAGGGAGGUAGCGUACUUAUGCUGCUCAGCCACCAUCGCUCCUCAGCCCGUCAGUUGCCACCGCCGCCAAAUCUGAGGGAGAGGUGGCCGCUGCUCCAAGAUCCAUGCGCUCCUUGCCCUGCCACACCUGCCGACGCUCCGCCGCUGCACCCUCCCGCCGGAGCUCCGCCACUCCUUGCUCCGCCAUGCCCUGCCGACGCUCCGCCGCCUCGCCACGCCCUCCCGUCUUGCCGACGCUGCUCCUUGAUCCGCCGUCGCUCCUCGCCACAUGUAAGAGGUGAGGGAUGAGCGGAGGGGGGAGGAGAGGGGCAACGACGGGAGGGGCGGCGAUGGGAUCUGUGUGGGGGAGAGAGGGAGGGGUUUCAGCUGGGGAGAGAGAGGGGAUUUGGCGGGGAGAAGAAGAGAGAGAGGCGUGGGUGAGAUGUCGGAUGAGGGGGACGAGCAGAUAAGUAUGGGGAGGAGGGUGAGCGUGGGGUGAGAGAGAGAAGGGGAGGCUGAUGAGGUACUCCUUUAGUACCGGGUGGAGGUGUCACCCAGACCUAUUAAUACCGGGUGACACCUCCACCCGGUACUAAAGGCCCUCAGGUACAUUAGUACCAGUUGGAGGCUUCAAUUGGUACUAAUGGGUGACCUUUAGUACCGGGUGAAGCCUCCACCCGGUACUAAAGGGGCUCACGGGGACUCCUCGAGGACUAGCCGUCAGGCCCGAUACUAAUUCUCACAUUAGUACUGGGCCAAAAUACAACCGGUACUGAGCCUCGGGACGAAUGCUGAGUUUUCCAGUAGUGUUACGCAAUUGUUCGCGUCAUUAAUACAUGGCUUAUCUCGUUCUCUCAUAAAAUUUUUAUGGCAAUGUCUCAGCUGGCAUUAUGUUUACAGUUUGUUUGUCUUCUUUUUUAUCUUUCUUCAUUUCUAUCUGUGUAGGUAAUUGAUAUAACCUCUUUACAUCAUUUUAUUAUUUUGCUCUUUUUUUUACGAAAUCAUUAGCAAGGGAGACCUCUACCCAUAUAUAUAUAUAUAUAUAUAUAUAUAUAUAUAUAUAUAAAUAUAUAUAUAUAAAAGAAAGCGUGUAGGUACAAUGGAUUUUACAUAGGCUCCAAGCCCAAAAGAGAGAAAGUAGAAAGUAUUAAAGACUACUCAACCAACAAAGAAUCUUAUCCCUGGUAGCUGCAUUGGCCCAUAGGGUCAUCAGCUGCAACUCCUCAAAAGUGCGCCUCCAGGAUGCAAAAGAUAGGGACUCUCCAUCAAAUAAUUUCAUUACGCAUGCACCAAAUAGCACAACAUGCUAUGAUGACAAUUUCUCUGAAGAUGGCACUUGCAAAUUGUUGUCUUGCAAGGAUAAUCAUGUUUAGAGAGUCAAGAUCGGUGUCCCCGUUGUUGCCUAAGAAAAUCCAGCAGGCUUGACUGAAGGGGCAGUCAAAAAACAGGUGAUUUCUAGUCUCCUCAACAUUUUCGACAUAUAGAACACAACUAUACCAGGUACAUGUGUUUCCUCCUUAGCAUAUUUUUUAUGUUCAGCCGAUCUCUCGAAAACAGCCAAAAGUAGAACUUAUGUUUGUUCUGCACUCUCGAUUUCCACAUCCAUUUGAAGAGAGGAGAAGUAGGAAUUGUACCUCGCAAGCAGGAGUAAGCCUUUUUGGAAGUGAACUCAGAUGAUCACAUUGCUGAUCAUCAAAAAGCUACCCAAGAAGCAAACCCUGGAGAUCAUUUAACUGAUCUGAUGCUAUUGCAGAAAGGGGUAAAUGGAAUUUUUUGUUCAUGGGAUUAACGAGGAACCCUUUGAUAGAAAUCUUUUCACUCCUCUUAAAUGAGAAUAGUUGGGGGAAUCUCCACCAAACAGCUCCAAGAUCCCAAAGGUCCUUCCAGAAUAGUAGCGAGUCUCCUUUCUGAACUUUACAUGAGGCAAGCAUGAAAAAGUUUUUAGUCAUAGAUAUGAUGUCCCUCCACCAGAAGGAUCCAACUUGAGAUCUAGCAUGAGGGUGUGUCCCAUUUUUAUAUAAGUGUUUCUAGGUAAGAUGGACCUAGGGAAGAUUAACAUUGUUAUAAAACUUGUGUAAGAAUUUCAGUAGCAAAGCUGUGUUUUGUGUUCUAAGAUUAAUAAUGCCCAGACCCCCUUCAUCUUUAGACCUGCAUGCAUAUUUCCAUGGAACCAGGUGACCACCCCUCAUUGCGACAUCUCCACCAUUCCAGAGGCAGUGCUUUCUGUACUUAUCAAUUUGAUCUAGGAUUUGGAAGGGCAAUUUCAUAGCACACAUGUAAAAAGUAGGCAUAGCUGAAUAUACGGAGUUUACCAAAAUUAGUCUCCUAGAAUAGGAUAGGAGCUUUGAAAUGCCCAUUAGAUGCUUCUCCAUUCUAUUUAAGAUUGGCAUGUAUUCAUUCGCUGAUGGUCUUGUGGUACCUAGGGGAAGUUCCAGAUAUGUGCAAGGCAUUGUGCUAAUUUGGCAUCCAAGACAAGUAGCCAAUUGUUCCAUUGUUUCCUGCUCAACAUCAAUAGGCACCAGAAAAGAUUGAUCAAAAUUCACCUUAAGGCUUGUUGCAACAGCAAAAGUAAUAAGGAUAUCUUUUAGAGCCAGUAACUGAUCACUAUCUGCUGGAAGAAUUAGGAGGGUAUCAUCAGCAUAUUGCACAAUAAGAUAAUCACCAUCAUAGUCUGGCCCAAAUGGAUGUGAGAGAACAUGUCUGAGAGUAGCAUCAUUGACCAUUGACUGCAGCAGAUCAGCAACUUAAACAAAGAGGAGAGGUGAAAGAGGAUCUCCUUUUCUAACACCUAUUUUGCAUUUGAAUGGCUUUCCAGGUACACCAUUUAGCAGCACUGAAGAAGAACCUGAAGAGAGAAUGAUCCUGGUCCAACUGACCCACUUGUUGGAGAAACCUUUAUGAUGAAGUAUCUGAAGAAUUACUUCAUGCUCAACCUUGUCAAAGGCUUUUUCAAAAUUCAUCUUAAGAAUGACUAUUUCCCUCUUUGAUUUGUGAAAAAUAUGCAGAAAUUAAAAUGCCCAGGCAAGACAGUCCUGGAUUGUUCUGCCCUUAAUAAAGCCAUACUGAUUAGUAUGCACUACUUGGAGAAUCACCUGCUGCAACCUGUUUGCCAAGAUCUUUGUAAGGAAUUUAAGAGAGUAAUUUAGCAAAGAAAUGGGCCCGUAGUCAUUGACAGUCCUGGGCUCUCUUUUUUGGAAUGAGAGUGAUCAAAGAACCAUUAAUGCUGGAAAUGUCCAGGUCUCCUGAAGCGAAGUCCCUACACAUCCUUAUAAUAUCCUCUCUAAUGAUGUGCCAACAUUUUUUUAAAGAAAACACCAUUAAAUCCACCAGGUCCUGGUGCUUGAUCACCAAGCAUCUCAUUCAGAAUAGCAGCUAUUUCCUCUAGGGAAAAUGGUGCAUCCAUCUCAGGCAUCAAAACUUGUUGGAUAAGAUUAGCCAGAUCAUAAUGUAUAUCUAAAAAUUCAGUUACCCCCAACCUGUCCUUAAAAGAGGUCCAAAGAGCACCAACCUUCUACUCAUGAUUAGUCAAUAUAGUGCCAUCCUGCAGGUGAAGCUCUGGAAUUGAUUUCUUUCUAUAUGAGUAAGUAGCCAUUGCCUGGAAAAGCUUAGAAUUUUCAUCACCAAAGAUAACCCAUCUGGCUGUAUUUCUCUAUUUCCAAUAGAUCCUUUUAGCCUCCAAGAGUUUACUUAGGUGGGAUUUCAAAAGGAGUCUGAACUUCUUUUCAGCAGUAUCCAAAGGUCUUUGAUCUUCUAGGCCAUCCAACAGUGCCAGGACAAAACUGCAAUUGUUGAUAAGUUUCCCUAGUUUGGAUAACUCUUUGCUCCACUGUUUGAGGCCAAAACGAACCUGCUUGAAUUUGCCAUGCAGAGUUUGAGAAGCAUUGGCAAAGAAAGGUGUGGAAUUCUAGUGAAGGUUCACCACAUCAAGAAAACCAUCAAAAUCAGCCUAAUAAUUUUCAUACUUGAAAAGGUUGGACUUGGGGAUUGAGGUUUGAAUGUUGAUAACAUAAGGAGAAUGAUCUGAAAUAGGCCUACUAAGAACCUUGGCAGAGGUGUCAGGAAAAGUAUUAGUCUAUGAGCCAGAGGUGAAAAUCUUGAAAAUCCAAUCUAGUUUUUCCAGCAGCAGGUCAAGUUGCAUGUUGCUCAAGGUAUAAUUGCGUCCAUGAAAGGCAAUAUCAACCAGGUCAAGAUGUUGAAUGGGAUCAUUAAAAGUCAUCAUGUCACACACAUUACCACCUAGUUUGUUUCUGUUCUCUAGAGUUCUAAUGAGAUUAAAAUCUCCUGCUAGGAUCCAAUCCUCAUAACUAGUGAUAUCCAAAUGAUACAACCAAAGAAUGAAAGCAGCUUUAUCAACAGAUUUAGAGGGACCAUAUAUGUUAGAUAAAUGGAAAGAAUUCCCAAACAAGUAGCAAACAAAUAUAAUGGUGAUGUAGUAAGCAUUGCUCAAAAUAAGAGACCCUGAGAAUAGAUUUGAGUUCCAAAUAACAAUUAAACCCCUAGAAGCUCCAGCAGAGGUAGAGAACUCAAACAUAUUUAAGUGUCUAGGAUAGAACUUUUUCAAAUAUGAAGAGUCAAAGGACUCUUUCUUAGUUUCCUACAGACAAAUGAUAGAGGUAGCACUUUCUGAGAUUUUGUAUCUCAGAGCAUCCCACUUAGCUUGAGAGUUGAUCCCCCUUACAUUCUAGACCAGAAUGUUAAGACUUCUGUUACUACUCAUUGGUAAACUCAGAUAAAAGGGCAGCAUCGCCUCUGGCACAACCAUGAGACAAGACCAUAUUACAGCUUAUAGAGAUCACGCAGUAAGAACAGAGUCAUAGAUAAAGCACCAACCAACUUGAGAUUAGAUUGAUGACAUGAUAAACCAAGUUUAACAGACUUUCAAAAGUACCCAAAGAGCUAAGCCAAACACUUAUCCAACUAGAGGAAUCCAAAAGCCUGGAGCACACUAGGAAACUAGCCCCAUUACAUUUCAUUGUCAUUAUCAUCACGCUCUAGAAGAGCUGAAGCAGAGAUAGCACUAGGCUGCAUCUGGAGGAAGCCAAUGGCCAUGCUCUGGAUGGUCUCAAUAGGUAGAUGUGGAGCCAGAGGAGAAGAAGAUCCCGCAGUAGUAGAACUAGCGUAGAUGGGAUGAAUCACUUCAAGUGACUCAACAUAAAAGUCUUGGUUUUCAGCAGCAGCUGCAACACUUUCCUCAGUGCGAAAGCCACCCAUAUCAGGAUUGAGGCACUUUCUUUGGCGGAGGAAGACAUCAUCCAGUGGCUCUUUGAGUUUGCGGGAGUGACGCUUGGCCAGUGUAGCAUGUAUCGGCCCUUGAAUCUCACGAACUUCAUCAUCUUCCUCUUCAUCAUCACCAUAUGGCACCAAAGGGAGCCCAUUUUUAGGGAGGGCAGGCCCAAUGAUUACCCUAGAAGGCUGAACCAAUGGGGUGAAAGGAUCAGGAAUAUGGGCCAAAUAUGACAGAAUAUCAUGAUCAUUGAUAUAUGAAGGAAUUAAGGUAUCAAGAAUAAUAUCUAAACGAUGAGAUGAGGGGAUUCUACAGGAGGUACGCCACUUUUUACUACAUUUUUGUGCAUGCAUGUGAGGUCUAGUUGGGCUCCAACACUACGGAAUCAGGAUAUUUGCCGAGUGCCCCGGGCACUCGGCGAAGCCCCAAAAACACUCGGCAAAGUGUUUGCCCUCGGCAAAGAGUAUAUGGUAAAAUAUCACUCGGCAAAGUUAACUUUGCCGAGUGUUUUUGGUCGGGCACUCGGCAAAGGGUGUGCCGAGUGUCAAAAAAAACACUCGGCAAACAAUUUUUUCAUAAAAAAUAAAAAAAAACAUGCCCAAGCCACUAGGGGUAGCUCCAGAUGGUCGCUGCCGCCACCGCUGCCGUCUCAACCCUUGCGAUGCCACCACCACGACCAGGCCAUCCGUGGCAGUUCCAGCUACUCGAAGCUGCCACCAUGCCCGGGCCAUCAGCUCCAGCUGCUCCACCACCGCCACCACCGCCUGCUCCGCCCGCCUUGGAGUGCGCCGCCGCUGCUCCAUCCCGCUGCUACCCGAGCUUCCUCCCGCUGGGGCCCCUCCCCGCCGCCACCCGAGCUGCCUCCUGCUAGGCCCCCUCCCCGGCACCGCCCGAGCUGCCUGGAGAGGAAGGGGAGGGAGCGGCGGAUCCGGGGGGAGGUGGCGGCACUGGAUCCGGGGGGGGGGGGAGGUCGCGGCGCCGGUGGAUCCGGAGGGGGGGAGGCGGCGGCGCCGGAACCGGGGGAGGCAGCGGCGCCGGAUCCAAAGGGGAGGUGGCGGCGCCGGUGGAUCCGGCUUGGAGGAGGGGCGACGCGGCGGUGGCGGCCAGAUCCGGCCCGGAGGAGGGGCGGCGCGGCGGUGGCGGCCAGAUCCGGCUUGGAGGAGGGGUGACACGGUGGUGGCGGUCGGAUCCGGCCCGAAGGAGGGGCGGCGCGGUGGUGGCGGCCUGAUCCGGAGAAGUGGCCGGGGUGGCGUCAGGAUGAGGGAGGGGAAGGGGAGGGGGCGGUGGAAACGAGGGAGGGGGAGGGAGGAGGGAAGGGGAGGGGCCGGCCGCCGGCGGGGAAGAAGAAGGGGAGGGAGGGGAGGGGUGGGGCCGACAGCGGAGGGAGGGGCCAGGGGUGCGGAUGGAGGGGGAGGGAAGGCCGGGUGCAGGAGGCGGAGGGGCUGGUGCGGGAGGAGGAAGGGUGCGGGAGGGAGGGGAGAGGCAGGUGGGCCAUUUUAGGCAAGUGGGUUUUUUUUUCCUUUGCCGAGUGUUUGUAGUAUAGCACUCGGCAAAGCACUAUUUUGCCGAGUGCCACAUGGGGAGCACUUGGCAAAGUUUUUUUUCCUUUUUCCCUCAUUUUCUACAACGUAUUCUUCUAUAUUUGUUUUGAUAAACUCAACAAUACCUCAUCAAAUUCACUCAAUAAUAUGUAUUUGAUUAUUCUACUCAUAUUAUUUCAUUAUUUUAUGCAGUUAUAGCUCCAAUUGAAUUAUAUCAAUUAAAAUUCUAUAAUUGCACUUAGUACAUUAAAAAUAUCAAACAGUUCCAAAAAAUUACCAAAAUUUCACAUGAAACAAUAUAUGUUCUCUAUUGCCUAUACAAAAAGUUUUGCAAUCAAAUCUAAAUUCGACCGUCACUUUGACUCCAAAUCUUAUCGAAUCCUUCUCAACGCUACGAUUCUUCUUCUCAAAUGCGUAAACAUUGUAUGUGAUAAAAUGUGCGAAACUUUCUCAAUUUUUUACCACAACCUCCACGUAUGAUACCAUCACAUCAUAACAAAUCUCAUAAUUUUCCGACUUUGUUUGCCUUUUUAGGUGAUGCUAAAUAGGUGAUGCUAUCCUUUUGUAUUCACAUGGGGGGAUCAUUUUUAUACUAAAGGGUCCCCCACGGGUUUACGAAAUUUAGUCCUCGGUCCAAGAUUUUUGUUGAGGAUGGAAUGUUGUUUCUCUGCUAGUGCCAAUUAAUAUUGACACACGAGAUAUGGGAAUACAGAUAAGAAGAUUCAUUUAACGUUACAUAGUAGAUUAAUCCGAAGCACUCAUGUGACAUACCCAGCGAUUGAAUCAACACUGCCGUUUGAUAAAUUAUAAUAGUUCAGUCAUGUUCUGAUGUUUAGAACACACCAGUUCCAAUAAAAACAUUCUGAAACUAACAAGGCAAAGCCAUAAAUUGUCAGACAUAUGGAUAUUUGGGAGGGAGGAGAGGGUGGCCGGCAGCCAUGGAGGGGUCGGCCGCGUGGGGGUGUUACUGUUCACACGGAGGUUAGGAGGCUCUUUUAGAAGACCGUAACAGAAGGUAAGAUGGGACUAAAUCCAUUGCCCAUUCCCUCGUAUUUAUGGGGAGGUACAAGCAAAACUAACUCGAUUUGAAUUAGAAACAAUCCUAUUUUCUACUUGAAUUAGAAACAAUCCUAUUUUCUAACUCUUUCUAAACCUUAACCUAGACGGACCCUCAGCUGCAGCACGUACAGUACAGUACAAAGAUUUAAAACUAGCCUAACCAUGCAUAUAUUCAGAAAUUCGAAACCUUAUCCCCAACAGAGAUUUACCUGUGCUCGCAGUCAUCCUCUGUUUUCUAAAUCACCUGGCUCCCAGUCCCAGUAUCUGCAUGGAAGGAGAAAUACUAUCCCGCAAGUUGAUGCUUUAAACAUAGGGUGGACAUAAAUACUACCAGAACCCGGAGUUUAAUAAUGAGAUUUAGGGAAAAAUGAAACAGCCCUUUACAACUGAAUUUUUCUUAAAUAAUUCGUGGUAAAUAAAUACACGUGGAUCAGUUAUGUACAUUGUUCAGAUACAUGAUGUACAAAUAAAUAAUCAGAACUAGAAUUUUACAAGGUUGUCGCAAAAAUGAAAAUUCUCAAGCGUUGGAUCUGGGAUCCCCGACAUGAAGGCAUACAACAACGCCAAAGAAAUUCACCUAAUCCUGAUGGGCGGCACUGCAUGAUUCAAUACGAGGAACCUUCUUUUGUGGAAUGCUGAUCCAGCCAAGAGAUUAUAUCAUCGAGAACUUGGAAAAUUGUAUCGUCCGGCUCACCUUCCAAGAUAGCGUGGUGUGCACCUUUGUAGAGGCAGAGCUUCUUGUCUUGGCUCUUUGCUUUCUUGUACAGAGCUUUACUCACGGCCGGGUCAGUAACCAAAUCAGCCUCACCGUGUAAUAUGAUUAUGGGCAGAGAAACCUGCGAAAGAUGAAGCAUGCAUCAACCAUAAAGAAAACUUAAAACAGCAAUAGUACACAUAAUUGACCAUCCGUUAUUCCAUAUUCUAACACAAUCUGUUAAAAUUGUCCUCCAAAACAGCACGCUUAUUUAUAUUGAAAUCUUAUAAAGGCAAGUGUCUUAUCUGAUCACACCUAUCUGUUCCUGUAAUGUAGGCCAAAAGAAUGAAUUUUGUUAAGAGUAUUAGAGUCCUUUUUGUAUUCCUAUUUCGCUGCUCUUGUACUCUUUAUAUAUUGCCCCCUGUGGCUAUUAUUCAGGACAAGUGCUUUUCAUAACCUGGUACAGAGCCAAACUAGAGUUAGUUGUUUUUUUCCCUUUGUCUUCCCUAGUCGUUCCCCCCUUUUCUCCACUGCAUGCCAGAUUUUGUGCAGCCCACCACCUUCAAAGUGUAAUGCUAAAAAGUCGGAAUGAAUAGAAACAAGGUAUUUCCUUCCUCACUAGAUAUAGAUCGUCAUUGGAUCCGUGCAGUCAUAAAAUUUGACGGUUACUAUAUAUAAAAAAGUGCAUGGAGUGAUCGUCGAAAGUAACACUUUGAACAUGAAAACCAUCUAAUUGGUGGCAGAAAUUAUAUAGCGAACAUGAAAACCAUCUAAUUGGUGGCAGAAAUUAUAUAGCAUGCAUGACACGUAUAAUUCAAGUAACUGGAGCAAACCAAACAUAAGCGCCACAUACUUCUUCCAGACAUCUUUCUAUCUCUUGUGAUGUAUUCAGCAUCUCCAAAGCUGUUCGGAGCCGUGGUUUAUCCUUGUAGGCGAUCACAUUGAAUGAACACUGCAUUGGUCAGUGAACUAAUAAAGUACACUCUAAUUGCAAUGCAUAAUUGCAUAGCGAAAAUUAGCAUUAACUGAGUAACUAAACAUUCAAAAGAAAUAAACCGAUUUCUCUUUCACAAGCACAAAAACUAACAGUGCCUGCAAAUACAUAUUCCUACUUUAUCUAGGAUUUCUGUAAGAUAAAAAUAGAAGUGGUAGUAAAACCAUACGGACAUUUGGUCACCUAUAUGUCACAAGUCAUUUGUUAUAUUGAUCACUGAAAAAGCUUAUUCAUUUGAGGUGGAGUCUGAAGCAAUGUUAAAUGGAUCAUAUUGUUUUUUUUAGUCUGCAAAAAUACAUGUCCUAUCAAAGAAUAUACAAGGCAGUCAAAAUGGAAGAAAAGAACGAAAUAUAACAAUUGAAUGAAAGAGUCAAAUAUUAGUUUAAAAUAAUUCAGCAUGACAGAUACUGACCUGCUCUUGUUUCUUCUUCUCUUUGAAUGCCAACUCAGCUAAAUCUUUUUGAGGAACAAGCUUUUCUUUUGGCAGAAUUUUGGCCACAAAAAUUAGUACUUGCCAAACAGGCCAAGGUGGAACCACAUCAUCUGCAAUCUAUUGAAAUGAUCUUGUGAAUUAGUGGUUAGGCAUUAACUUAUACAGAUAACAUUCUACAUAGAUAUAACUACCUUGCACAUGGGUGCAACUAGUAUUGCACCAUUCCAUUCAUUUGGUUGCUUGGAGUGAACCUUCAAUGCAACUGCUCCACCCAUUGAUUGACCAAAUAGAAAGCUCGGCAGACCUCUAUGUUCAGGAUUCCCUAACAAGAAGAAAAAAUAACAUGUUUACACAAAAAUGGUAAUCUUUGAGUUAAGAUUUUUUUUUACAAAAGUACCCAACCAUUUCUGAAAAUCAUGUGACAGAAAAAGAACAAGAAACUAGUAAGAUCAUAAUGACAGUGUACCUUUGACCUUAGCAAAGUGUUCAGCUACAUCAUUAACAAGAGUAUCAAAACUUGGAAUAUAUCCAUGAAGUCCUUCUGAAAGGCCAAAGCCAGGGUAGUCAAGUGCAUAUACUCCGUAUCCAGCUGAAGCGAUCUUCCUAGCAACCCCUAAAAUAAAAACGGUCACUAAAACCAUGCAACAAGAUCAACAGAUCAGAGAAACCACAGUACUAGCAUCGUAGAUUAAAAGCUAACCAUCAAGGAAGAAGGUACAGGUGUCUCCAUAACCAUGGCAGAGACAAACAAUUGCUUUCAUGUGAUGGUUCUCUGGAAACCAACAUUUCGAGAAAAUCUCCACGCCCCUAGAGUUACGCUCAUAUGACUGUAAAAGAAAAAAAUUCAAUGGUUUAUAAUAAUCAACAAGCUACUUGUAAAAAUAGAUCCAAAUGGCAUGUCAUCAUGCUUUCAGCGCUGGGAAUACCAUUGAGCAAAGUAAACCGUUUUACAUUUCAUGUUACCAUGUUAAAACAUCUCGCGGACACAGCAAAAGUUGUAGUUAUCUAUAAAAUAGCCAACUCCUGAAGGUUCACCACAUAUCAUAAAAAACCAACUGAAGCAAAGGAGAAACUAAUGUACGUUUGGAUACGCCCUAGGAACUUCAACAUUAUAGUGCCUUGGAAUAAUCUUUUUAUAAACAAACUUUGAAACUAUCCAAUAUUUCUGCACGGUGAUCAUUUGCGCAAAUUAGUAAAAUAUAAUAUGCCUGCUAACUUAUAUAGAGCAAAACCACUUCAAUGUCACUCAUACGUAGAGCAUGCGCUCACCAAUGGGAAAAAGGGGAAUCGACUCUACAUGGCACAAAUAAUCGACAGAAAUUUACGAAUUGCAGCUGUUAAGUUCAGGGAUCUCCUUAUUAUAAAGAAGCUGUUUAGUUUAAGGAACAGUACCUCCUUAGUUCCAAUACCACUAUGUUGUCCCUGCAUAAAACGAAUGCAAGUGAGAGAGAUCAUCCAUGGCAUGCGAAAUCACAAAGCGUGUUCACCAUCUAGUUCUACACCAUCAUUUGAAGUGAGAUGAGUGAUACUAUAGAGAAGAUUCAAACAGGUAUCUAAUGUAGUAACGACACCUCCUGCCGAUUGGUACAAGACGUUUUGAUUACAGGGUAAUCUUUUGCUGGAAAAAGGCUAGAACUAUAUUUCCGAAAACACGUUUGUAUUGCAGCCUUCUGUAAUAUGCCCCAAAUAAGUAAGCAUAAUUCACGAAAUCAGCACAUGUAUUAUCUUUGCCUAACCAAUCAAAUACCGACAUGUCAGUAUGUCACUGGGGAGUACAACCGAAAAAGGAAGGACAUAUCUUUUAGAAGUAAACAGGGCAUCGUUGUCUGUGGUUUUAAGCAUAUAUGCAAAGUAGGAUGAGGGGGAUUGACCUUGAAGAGGCAAUGGUCGAUGGAGAGCUGCACGUCCUUGAACGCCUCGCGGACGCGGCGGCGCUCGGGGGCCUGGUCCAGGCACGCCCCCAGCACCUCCCGCUCCAGCGCCUGGUCCACCAGCCCCUCCCACUUCCUCGGGGCCUGCGCCGGCGCCGCCGCCGCCGACAUCGCCGCGGCGCCCGCGCCCCGCGUCGUCGGGCGGCUGGUCAGAGGCGGAACCAGUAUAGGAGUUUGGGUCUUCGAUUUCGCGCAGCAGGACGGGAAGGAAGGGGAAUGGAUGGGCAUAACCCUGUCGGAUGCUCGUCGCCGGCGAAGCACCCGACGAAGAACUGGCGGGCGGCGCCACUGGCCGAGACCGAGAGAGAGAGAAAGAGGAGGCGUGGGAGCCCGGAUGGGGGAAGUAGACAAGAUGUGUUUUGUCUCCACGACGGACAGGCCCACGGCCCACAAAUCCGUCCACAGGCAAAGCAGGAGCAGAAGGCCCAGUUUAUAGCUAGCGCGCGAGAAAGGCCUGCUUAGUUUCUUGUUCGUCUUUUUUUUCUUCUCAUUUCUUCCUUUCCAUUCCAUCUUUCUUUUAAACAACGUUCUUUUAAUAAUUUCAAUAACUAAUAGUUUCAUAUAUCUGCUCCUUUCAACAGUUUUGAAUGUUUGUUUAAGCAUUUGGUAGAAGCUAUUUCAACAAAUUUUAACAUUUGUCCAACAUUUCAUGGUAAAACUGUUGAAAUUGUUAAUUUUAGAGGAAUUGAGCAAUGUGCCAAUAUAUUGGCAAUCAUUGACUUGACAGCAUUAUCAUGUCCAUUUGUCUCAGUUUUUAGUACUUGUAUUUAUUUAAACCAAUUGUUCUUGUUUGUUCAGUUUGAAGUAAACCAUGCCAGUGAAAUUGAUGCAAUUUUUUAUUCCAUAAGCUAUGACAAGGGAGCUUCUGUUAUUCGUAUGCUACAGAAUUAUCUUGGCGCAGAGCGUUUUCAGGUUUGAUGAUAUUUCUCCAAUGAGUUAUAUCCUAUUCUUGUAACUUUGCUGGUUCCAAUAUUUUAUCUUAUCGUUGCAUGCUAUUUAUUUCCCUUUCUUUAUUAACCUGAUAACUAAAUGUAUUCUGUGGAGUGCAUCUUAGCUAAAGGUAUCCUAACAAAUAUGCAAACCAAAUUUCUAAAGGGGAUCAUAAUUAUUUAUUGUGAUUAUGUUACUGAACAUGUUGAAAUUCUGCCUGAUGUACCUGCUGGAGAAUAGCUUGGAUUUAUAUUUCUUGAUAGAAGUGUAAUGACCAUAGUUCAUGUUUCUAACUUAUGUUUGCCUAUCUAGCUCUGUUCCUACAUUUAUUCUGCAUUUACCAACUCUUUUUUGGCAAAUGUUUACUGUUUCAGAAAGCUUUGGCUUCAUAUAUAAAGAAGUAUGCUUACUCAAACGCUAAGACUGAAGACCUAUGGGCUGUUCUUGAGGAGGAAUCUUGGGAGCCCGUUAGGAAUUUGAUGACUACAUGGACUAAGCAACAAGGAUAUCCUGUCAUUUAUGCAAAACUUAAUGAACAUGAUUUGGAACUUGAACAGGUUUGUUGACAGAUCUUUCAUUUUUCACAUGUGUCUUCAGCAAUAUACGGUACAUUAAUGGAUAUAGCUUGUUAGUUUUCUAUUUCUAUUUUGAUUACCUUUGCCUUAGUGGUUAGUGUUUCUUGUUUCUGGGACCUCUGUUUUCCUGGUAGUAGUUUUUUGUACAUCAAAUAGUUUUUUAGGGAAAUAACAUGCGCUACCCUGAGACAAAAUUCAGAUCAACAUUGGCAUCAAACAACAAUAUAAUGAUAAAAAAAGCUAGACCAAUCUUGGAGGCUAGGAGGAAUUAGGCGGCUUUAUAAUAAGAAGAAAUAGACCCAAGUUUGCCUGAGGAUCGAUCUUGGGUAUCUGGGUGUACAUCCACACCCUCAACAAACCAAGCUAAGCUCAGUCAAUAGUAAGCUAAUUGAAGUGGUUGCUUCCCUUUCCUUUAAUUUUCAAUCAUAAGUAUGUAGAGCACAGUGCGAAGCUAUCAAGAUACAUCAAGAUUCUCAGGCAUUUGACCUAGCAACAUUUUUGCUAUCUUGGCAUAUAGACUGCGAUGUAAUGUCUCAGAAGGAAGCCAAUUGUUUAUGACAUGAACUAGAAAAACACAUCUGCUUGUCCACCUCAAUGUUUACAUUAUACUGAAAGGUUGUUGCUACUUGCUAAAUUAUUUGUCUCUAAGAGCAUCUCCAACAGAAUUGUUAUCCCACUCUCCAAGCCAAAAUUUGGCAAGUCUGCUAGAAAACUACGAUCCAACAGAGUUACUAUUCGGAUGGCCAUCCCAUCCAGCUUGCCAAAUGUUCCCCCUCACUCUCCAAACUUGGCAAGCAGGUUUGGCUUGUCCAAUGUGGAUCCCACGCACAAAUUGGAGAGUAUAAAAUGGAGAGUGUGUUGUAGUGUGAAAUGGAGAAACUGUUGGAGCGGAGAGUGUAGGUUUUUAGAGAAGAAUAUUGGGAUUUGGAGAGUGAGAAAUGGAUAGUCUGUUGGAAUGAGCAUGUCAAUAUGGAGAGGAAUCUUUUUACCAACUUGGUUAGAGAAUCAACGGAAAGUCAAAAAUAGAUAAUCUGUUGAAGUUGCUCUAACACAGUUUCUUUCUGCCGGAUCCUCUGGUCCUAGCAUGUGGAUUGUUCCUAUAACAUCUUGCUGCGGCUCGUAUUAUGCACAGAAAAAGUUUUGAUUGAAAGGCAAAACUGAUAAGAUUCAUAUUGAAGAGUUCACUGCCUCUCAAAGUUCUGAUGGAGGUAAGAGUGAAAACAUUUGGAUCAAACUGAACAUCGAUCAAACUGGAUUCUAUAGAGUGAAGUACGACGAUGAACUUGCAGCUAGACUUGUAAAUGCAAUCAACAAAGCCAAAAGGCUGUCGCUAAUGGAUAAGAUUGGUAAAGAUAAGACAAAAUUUAGCACUAUUGUAUACUUUUUAAAGGUUUUUUCCCGACAAUAGCAUGUUAUUCUUGCAGGUAUUGUGGAAGAUUCAUAUGCCCUUUCUGUUGCUCGCAAGCUAACACUGACAUCAUUGCUGCAACUGCUGAAUGCUUAUCAUGAUGAGUCUGAUUACACUGUAUUAUCACAUGUAACCUCUGUAAGUAAAUCUUGCACCUCCACUAAAUUCUUGAACCUUAUAUAACCAGUCGAUCCUGCAGCAUCGGAUGUUUCCAUUAAAAGUCAUAUACAUGUAUCCUCUUUCUUUCCAGAUAUGCCGAAGCAUUUCUAAAAUAUCAUUUGAUGCCACUCCUGACUUGAACAAAGAUAUCAAACAGCUUUUGAUCAACCUUCUUCUGCCAGCUGCCAGGUAUGCCAACAAGCUUCAUAGUUUACUUGUUUUCACAUCUUUAUUUAUCAGUGUCCAACUCAUGUCUAUCCUUGUGCAUGUAAACAGAGAAAUAGCGUUGUCUUAAUUUCUGUUAAUACAAACAUUCUUGUUGAUCCCUUGUUGUGAUGGUAUUAAAAGGCUCCGUAUACCUAACAUUUCAGAAAAUUAGGCUGGGAUCCGAAGGAUGGCGAGAGCCAUCUUGACGUAAUGCUUAGAUCACUGCUCUUGAUUGCCUUGGUCAGACUCGGACAUAAUGAAACUAUAAAUGAAGGAGUUCGGCGUUUCCGUAUCUUUUUUGAAGACCACAAAACUUCCGUUCUUCCACAAGAUACAAGAAAGGUCAUAGCUAGGCUUUACUUCCUCCUUUUGCGGAACCCUUUGAUGUCUAAUAUGUUAUGUGAAAGCGAGUAUGGCUCGGGAAAGAUUAGAUUGAUUUAGAGAGGCAAAGCUCGUGUACAUAAAUAGGCAAGGAGGUCAUAGGGUUUGGUUUAUAGCAUCCGCACCAAUCAGAGACUUGCCUAAUCUAAAUCAUCCAUCCAUCUAACCUGGCGCACAACUACCCAAGGCCCAGAGGGCCAGCCAUAUAUGCCCAUGCUAACACGCCCCUAUAGUCUAAGCAUCGUCACCACGAACGUUCAGGCUGGACCGAAACUCCACGAAGACCGACGACGGAAGCCCUUUGGUGAAGAUAUAUGCAUACUGUGAAGUGGUGGGAACAUGCAGGAUCUUGACGUGGCUGUGUCGAGGGUGACACGCUCACGGAUGAAGUGGAGGUCAAUAUUGAUAUGCUUGGUGCGCUAGUGCUGGACAGGGGUGCUGGACAUAGAUUGCACUGAUGUUGUCGCAGUAGACCAAGGUAGCACGGUGCAGGGGGUAUGCAGCUCUAGCAGGAGUUGGCGCAACCAAGUGACCUCCGCCACAACGUUGGCCACAGCCCAGUACUCAGCUUCAGCACCGAAUCUGGAGACGGUCGUCUGGCGCUUGGAGGACCAAGAGAUGAGGUUCUCCCUGAAACACCGCAUAACCUGAGGUGGAUUUGCAGGUAUCAGGACAACCUGCCCCAUCAAUGUCCGAGUAUGCGAUCAGCUCAUCCACACUGGAGGGGUGCAGAUGUAGUCCCAGAUGCAAAGUACCACGGAUGUAGCGCAGGAUGCGCUUCAAGGUAGCUAGGUGCGGCUCCCACGGAUCAUGCAUGUGAAGGCAGACCUGCUGAACGACUUAAGCAAUAUCCGAUCUGGUGAAGGUGAGGUACUGUAGAGUGCAUGCCAGACUACGGUAGUCGGAUGCAUCCCGAAGUGGAGCGCCAGCUGCUGCAGAAAUCUUGGGGUUGGUGUCAACCGCUGUAGAACAAGGUUUGCACUCUACCAUACUAGCCCUGUUAAGGAUGUCCAGCAUGUAUUGUCACUGAGACAGAAGAAGCCCACUAGCAUGCCGCUGAACAUGCAUCCCCAAGAAGUGAUGAAGCUCACCCAAGUCCUUCAUGGAGAACUCCUGCUGCAAAGCGUAGAUGAUGCGCUGGAGGACGUCCAAGCAGGAGGCGGUAAGGACAAUGUCAUUGACAUAGAGGAGCAAGUAGGCCAUCUCGGCGCUGCGGUGGAACACAAACAGGCUAGUGUCGGACUUGGACUCAACAAAUCCAAUAGGCAGGAGAAAGGCAGUGAAGCGACUGUACCAAGCGCGGGGUGCUUGCUUCAAACCAUAUAGUGACUUGUUGAGGUGACAGACGAAGUCGGGGUGAGCAGGAUCCACAAAACCAAACGGAUGGGAGCAGUAGACAGUCUCAGACAAGGUGCCAUGGAGGAACACGUUCUUCACGUCGAGCUGAUGGAUCAGCCAACUGCGAGAGAGUGCAAGGGACAGCACCAUGUGGAUGGUGGCGGGCUUCACGACGGGGUUGAAUGUCUCAUUAAAAUCCACACUAGGUCGCUGGGUGAAGCCGCGAAGAACCCAUCGUGCCUUAUACCAUUCCAGAGAGCUGUCAGCCUGGAAUUUGUGCUUGAAGAUCCACUUCCAGAGCCAACAUUUGUCCUUGGCGGUCGCGGAACAAGAUCCCAGGUGUUGUUCUUCAGCAGUGCACCAUGCUCUUCCUCCAUAGCUGCCCGCCAAUUUUGGUCGGCGAGGGCGCUACGGAAGGUCUUCGGCACAGGGGACAGCGGGGCAACGAGGUACAACACAGGCUGUCGAAACCCACACUUGGCCCGCGUGGUCAUCAAGUGCUGAUUCACCAAGGAUGAAACAACCACAGUGCCCCUGGGCAGGGGCGGUGGACUAGCUAGAGAGGCGGCGGCAUGCCAGCGUAGACGUGCUAGGAACUCGUGCAGGGGACGGUGGGGACCAUCCGAGUGGUAGCCGGCGAGGGACAAGAGGCCAGCAAUGGUGGACCGCUGGCCGGAGGGCGGCGAUGGGCUGCCGGUGACGCUGGGCAAGCCAGCUAGGGCGCCUGCUGCGGGUGAUGAGGAUGGCGGUCGGCUAGUAGGUGGUGAAGAUGGGCUAGGGACGAAUGAGCAAAGAGGCCUAGCCGGCCAGGCAAAGCCCUGACUGCUGGUGGUGCACUAGUCACCAAGCCGUGGGCGGCUGGCAGCACCUACGAGGCCACCGUGCCGAGCAAUGGGCUGGCUGUGCAGGGCAGCCGACCGGCCGUGGCGGGCAACGAGAGCGACAGGGUGUCCACGGCGGGCGCCGUGGCACCGAGGGCAGCACGUGGCCGUGCGGGCAAUGCUCUUGCCGCAUCGGCCGGUGAGGUGCCGGGUGCCGCACAUGGCUGUGCGGGAGCUCCUGGGGAGAUGCCGGCAGGACCUGCAGAGAGAAGGGGGCAUGAUGGGCCUAUGGGAGUAGGCAUGACACUAGUGAGAUCAUCUAAGAAAUCGAAGGCUGCAGGGGCCUGAUCGGCAAAAGGAAACGUUGACUCGUAAAAAAUAACGUGAGGAAAGAUGAUGAUCCUGUUGGAGAGGAGGUCAAGGCAGCGGUAUCCUUUGUGAUGAGCUGAGUAUCCAAGAACGACGCACAGAGAGGAGCACGGAGCAAGCUUGUGUGCAGCAGUGGAGGAUAGGUUGGGGUAACAAGUGCAACUGAAGACACGCAAGUGCUCAUAGGAUGGUGCAAUGCCGAAAAGGGCACAGUGCAGCGUUGAGAACUGCAGUGUCUUGGUAGGCAGAAUGUUGAGCAGAUAGGUGGCUAUGUGCAAAGCCUCGACCUAGUAGGGUGGCAGGAUGGCGGCCUGAAAUAAGAGCGAGCAAAUAAUAUUAUUGGUGGAACGAAUAAUACGCUCAGUUUUACCGUUCUGGGACGAGGUGUAUAGGCAGCACAUGCGUAGGUGGGCGCCGUGGGAGAGGAAGAACAUGCGGACACUAGAGUUGUCGAACUUGUGGCCAUUGUUGCACUGGACUGCCUUGAUGUGCGUGUCGAAUUGAGUUGUCACAUAUGAAAAAAAAAAGUGAGCCAAAGUGGGAUACGUGUCAGACUUAAGCCACGAUGGGAAUGUCCAAAGGUAAUGGGUGCAAUCGUCGAGAAUGACCAAAUAGUACUUGUACCCUGAGUCGCUUACAAUAGGUGAUGUCCACAAAUCACAAUGAAUAAGAUCAAAGGCACUAGAUGCACGAGACAAAGGCACAUGAAACGGGAAAUGAAUAUGUCGACCUAACUAACACGCAUGGCAAAUAGAAGAGCUGGCUUCUUUAUUACAUGAUGGCAGGACUAAAGCGAGCUUGGAUAAAGCUUCGUGACCGGGGUGACCGAGGCGCCGGUGCCAGAGGGACGGCAAAGCACCAAUAGUGAGGGCAGUGGUGGCUGGGAAGCGGAGUGGAUACAACGGUCUGAAGCUAUUGCACCUGAGGAGAACGUUCCGAGUUCGGAGAUCCUUCACAAAGCAACCAACGUUCCGAGUUCGGAGAUCCUUCACAAAGCAACCAACGGAGUCAAAUUCAACAGAGAAGUUGUUGUCAGUGGUAAACUGGCAAACAUAGAUAAGUUUCUUAAUAAGACUUGGUGAAACAAGGAUAUUAUUGAGGCGUAAUGAACCAGGGAGAUAUGCUGCACCAGUGGAGGUAAUGGGAAGCAAGGAACCAUUGCCGACAACAAUUGAUGAAGGAAAAUGAUACUGCGGUAAAGAAGAAUGUGAAAGAAUGCUUGAAUCAGAAGUCAUGUGGGAGGUAGCACCUGAAUCAAAGUACCACUCGUGGCCCUGGGGCUGGUUCAGUGUCAUGGUGAUGAAAGUGACGCCAGGGACUGUUGAUCCCAAGACGGAGAGGCUGCCAUCGGGUUGUACCCCCCAGCUGGGGACAUCCACUGUCCGGAGUGUCGUAGGUGUACUGGAGCUAUGCUUGCGCCUGCUGGAGCUGCGGGAGGUGGGCGGUGCUGGGGAGCUGACUUGGGCGGGCUGCUGGGCCAGCAUGGCCUGCUGCGCCAGGUGGGCCUACUGAGGACCGCCGGCCUGGCCUGGCGGAAAUGGCACAGAGGGAGCGCGUGGGGCGGGCCACAUGUGAAUGGCUCUGGUCCACAGAUCCUAAGCGGUAGGUCAAGAACCGCCACCUGCGCUGCCUGGGGCCUUGCCACCACUGCUGUCGGGCACCUGGCCACCGUUGCUGGAGCCGUCGUUGCCAUCGCCGUUGUGACCCUAGUCGUCGUGCUUGCUGCGGCUGUUCUUGGGUGGCUUGGAGCCGCCCCUGGUGCCAGCGCCCCUGCUGUUGUGGGGUGGCUGCUGGGCGGUGUGGCGUGGCUGGCCGAAGGACGAUGAGGACCCGCCGGCAGCACCGCCGCUGGUGGCAAUGAGAGCAGAAGACGGCGCAGUGGAGCGGUGGGACAUGUUGAGCUCCUCCAUGAGCAGGUUCGCGUGCACGUCCAAGAAGCUGGGGAAGGGUAUGCUGCGAUGGAGAUGCAAGCCGAUGGUGGCGAAGUGCUCGUUGAGGCCACGGAUGACUUUCAGCACGAGGGUGCGAUCCCUCAUGUCCUCGCUAAGGUCCUGGAGAGCGUCCGCCAUGGACUUGAAGCGCCGGCAGUAAUCUGCAAUGGAAAGGUCACCUUCCUCGAAGGUCCGAAACUUGCCAUCGAGGUAGAGGGCACGCAUCUCACAAUUGCGGAGAAACUGAGUUUCAACAGCAAGCCAGGCGUCACGCGCCGUUGCACAGGCGGACAUGACCGUCUCGACGAGGUCGUUGGAGAUGGAGCCGUAGAUCCAAGACUUGACCACGCAGUCCAUGUGGGUCCAGUUCGGGAGGCCAGUGUUGGCGUCAUCAUUGAGGAUGUGGUCCUAGAGGGAGAACUUGCCGACCGUCAGGAGGAAUUGCUCCCGCCAGUGCAUGUAGUUGUCGGAGGCGAUGUCCAGCAUGAUGGGGAUGAGGCUUCAGAUGCUCUACAUGGCGGCGGCUUGAGCGUGGAGGCUGAGGACGGCCUCGUGGAGCAGCAUGGCGUCGUCGACGGAGCAAUGCUCGUGGUCGGAGACGGCAAACUUGGUUUCGUGGUCAUCUCCGAUAGGGAAGGCGGCAGCGGCGGUGCGUACUCGCAGGCAGCGCGAGCGUGCGCCUCACACACGCGAUCGGCGGCGGCGUCACGCUCUAGAGUACGUCCGCCGCCUCCUUCUCCACCUGUUGCACAUGAGCAAGGGCCAUGUCACACUCUGCGCAACACGCUCUGCACUUGGGUGCAUCAGCAUCCGCGACCGCGCGUUGCUUCUUAGCGGCAGCGCCGGAGCGAGGGGUGAGGGGAGGAGUCCCGGCCAUGGGUGGAUGCGCAGCCGCGAGGACGCGCUAGGGCAGCGGAAGGGUUGGAAUCAGGUGGAAGAUCCGGACUCGUGAUACCAUGAAAACGAGUAUGGUUCGAGAAAGAUUAGAUUGAUUUAGAGAGGCAGUUUUGUUUAUAGCAUUAGCACCAAUCAUAGGAGAUCCUUGCCUAACCUAAACCAUCCAUCCAACCUAGGAUGGGGCUGGCGCGCAGCCCAGGAGGCCUGUGCGGCUGCUACCCAAGGCCCAGAGGGCCGGCCAUAUAUGCCCAUGCUAAUAUUAUGCUCUUCAGGCUGCAUACCUUGCUGUGAUGCGGACUGUUAGUGCCGCAAACCGAUCCACUUAUGAUGCUCUCCUCAAUAUCUACGGAGAAAGAUGUGAACCAGAGGAGAAAUCACGUGUCUUAGGUUUGUGUACAUUUCUUUGACUUAGCUUGGACAGCAACAUAGAUUUUUAUUUAUGAGAUGGGUUAUCUGGAAAAUACAUUGACUCUUUGUUUCCAGGAUCCUUGUCUUCAUCUCCAGAUAAAGAUAUUGUUUUGGGAGGCAUUGAACUUUAUGUUUACUGAUGAGGUUGACCUCUAAACCAUUUCUAUUUACCAUAUAUCCAUAUCGUUAUCUUUCAAAAUGAUUCCAGAUAGUUACUGGUUUAAGUACUUCUUUACAAAACCCUGGUUAAUUGAACCAGUAGGCAUUAUGGCCCAACCACUAGCACACUGAUUGUCCUGUUUACAAAGGUGGUUUUGGUUUACAAACUUGAACUAGAUCCUUAAAAUAUUCCUUGAUCAAUCCUCCCCUUCCAAACAGGCCUUAAACUAAUACUUUUAGUAAGUAUUAUAGAUAAGAAUUAAGCUGAAGUAAAUUAUUUCCCUACACAAAUCAGCAACCUAGCAUUGCUCAGUUACCAAGUGGUAGGAGCUCCUUUGACUAUCUCCCUCUUGUGCAUGUCUCCAAUUCGGUUCCCCCAAGUAUGCUUUAUUUUCCUAUGCAUGCAGUAUGCACUGUAGUCUGGUAUUAACGUCAGCUUAAUGAACCCGUUUGUAGCAGUUUACUUGCUGGAACGAUAUUUUAGUCAGACCUGACUAGGGUUUCAUUUAGUUUCUUCGAAUGCCCAGUUCCAGCUUUCCAAGUUGAACUGUUGGUUCAUUUUUUUUAAAAAAAAUCAAAACAUGGUCUGCAUGAUUAUGUUUUUCCAAAUAUGCUUGAGAGCUGCGCAACUGUAUGUAUAAAACCUGAAUCUAAUCUGUUGCUUACUUAUUAGGUACGGAAUCAGCAUUCAUUUUAUAUCCUUGGUGGCAUUAGCUUAGAAGGACGUGAAGUUGCAUGGACCUGGCUGAAGGUAUUUCAUAGUUGUAGGACUUCUAAACCAGGUUUUUGUGAUAAUGUCCGAUAAGAUAUGCACUUAUUUCUGACAUAUUUAAAGGUUUGCAUCUACUCUCUUGAGAAAUUGGUGUUGCAUAUCAUAAAUCGUGUGAUGACAACUAAUGUUUCUUAAUACUUACAAUGUACAUGUGGAGAUGCCUUUCCUGCAUUAGAUGGCACAAUAGAUUUUCUUUUUCAAAGUCUUAUUACUUUUAACCACUUCAAUUGAAAACAUGCAUGCUGGUGCAUGUGCCCAAUUACAAGAAAACUGGGGUCAUGUGUUGAACACAUGGAAAUCGAGCGAGCUCAUAUCAGACUUCAUCGACUCCAUUGUCUCACCGGUAUACAAUGGAGAACAUUUAUCUUUGCUUUCUUCCCACUAUAUAUAUCAUCAUCCAGUUAGUAACAUUACCCUUCUUUAUUUAAUUAACGUGCCUGUUGUGCAUGGUCAGUUCACCUCUGAGGAGAAAUCUGCUGAGGUUUCGGAGUUCUUUGCCGGCCGCAUCAAGCCAUCGUUCGAGAGAUCGCUGAAGCAGAGCCUCGAGAGUGUGAGGAUCAGCGCGAGGUGGAUCGAGAGCAUCAGGAGCGAGCCCAGCCUUGGUGAGGCAGUGCAGGAGCUGCUCCAGGGCGAGGCGUAAACAUGGGCUCCAAAAUGCUGUUUCUUAGAGUGAAUCUCAUUGGAGUACGCAUGACAAUGCAUGCUCUUGGAAUUUGAAAAGGUUAUUGUGGGCGUCGUUCUUAAGUUGUAUUGGCAGUGGGUACGGUGCUAAAUGAUCUGUUGCAAAAAGAUGGAAGUCAUGACGUUUGUUUCAAAGGGUAAUGUGCCAAGCCCUGGACUAAUAACAAUUACCAUAACAUUAAUAAAGAAACAGAGUUUGUACAGGACUGGGUUUACGUUCACAUGGCAAAAGGUCACAUAAGUAGUUGAAACUAUAGUAUCAAUGGAGUACCAGGCAUAAAAAGAAAACGAUAUACAACAUAUAUGAUGAGCUACUGGUGAAUGCGAAGUGUCGUCAAUUAACUGAGGUCUGCGGCAUUGCAGAAUUUUCAUGUCGAAUCGUUAGGAGAGAUAAGAAUCGACUUUGAUUUAGGGACGAGUACGUUUACUACUGUUCAUCUUUUAUCUGCUAAGUUCAUGGACCUAUAUGGUACCUCGUGACAAGUUUAAGUUUAAGGAUCGUUACUGUAUUUUACUCUUGGUUAAGCAAGUACCUUAAUUUUCUUUUUUUGGAUGCUAAAGUCUUUUUUCUAUACUUUGUAGGACUGUUGUGAAUGGGUUCAUGGACAAUCCUAAUCCGAAUAGGUAGGUAUUCCUAUAACACAUGUAACUCUAUUUUCUUAAUCUAUUUCACAUGCAUAUACAAUGACUUUGCAAUAUUAUUCAACAACAGGUGGCCUCUGCCUGAGCCGCGUUGGCAUUAUCCUUCUAGUGUCAUCCGUUGCUAUGAGACACGGUACGCAUGACAAAGCAGUGAAUUCCUACGCGCUGGGGGAUCUACAAAUUGCUCCUGCUUAUUUAAAAGCGUUGUCAUUACCUGCAUGUAUGUCAGUCAUGGUUGUUAUGAUCUGAGUGGCCAAUCAAACUUCUGCGUCCAUAAUGUAAUUGACCUAAAGGCAAUGAAAGUUUUAUAUUACUGGAGUACUUAGUUUCUGCAAACACGGAGCCGUGUUCAUACACAGAGGAAAUAAACAGCUGGUUUCUGAUAAAACUGGGAAACAAAAGUACUUACACUCUGGAACAGCUUUGUGGCCACUCCGUUGGCUCGUGGUCUUUGAGCUUGUAGAACUGUCGCUAGUUGUUAUGAAUCCCACAAUUUAGUUGCCACCCCUGUCUACAUUAUUGUUAGCCACAGUGCGCGUCGGAUGAUAUCCGCAGCUAUAUCCACAACAUAUACUAUAUGCACAGCAAGACCACAAGCCAAUUCACGUGCUAGUUUUCAUUAAAAAAUAGCUUAAAAGAAUUGCAUGAUUCAAGCCGUUUCCCUAGAUCAAUGAAUCGCUAUGACCGCUUCAAAAAAUGAAUCGCUAUGAGUCCAAAGAGCUCGUCCCUUUUCUAGUUAACAAAAAAAAAAAGAGAGAGAAA